rnacentral:rRNA from 1 species
UCUCUUUGCUGUCAAGUGGGAUUACUCAGUCAGUUUAAGCAUAUUAAUAAAUGGAGGAAAAGAAACUUACAAGGAUUCCCUUAGUAAUGGCGAGUGAACCGGGAACAGGCCAGACUUAGAAUCGGGCGGCUCCUUCAUCCGAAUAGUAUUUUGGAGAAGCAUCCUCAGCAGCGGACCGAGCCUAAAUUCCCGAGAAGGGGGCGCCAUAGAGGGUGAGAUCCCCAUUGUGCCCGAACCCUGUUUGGGAAUGUAGCCCAAAUCGGGUGGUGAAUUUCGUCCAAGGCUAAAUAUGGGCAAGAUACCGAUAACGAACAAGUACCACGAGGGAAAUAUGAAAAGAACUUUAAAAAGAGAGUCAAAGAGUGCUCGAAAUUAAAGGAAGGAAAGUGGAUGGGGGAUGGCGAUGCACCCCGGUCGGAUGUGGAUGGCGAUGAGCUGGUCCGCUGAUCGACUCAAGGUAUAGACCUUCAUUGAUUGGGGGCGGACAAAUCUCAGGCUCUCAAUACACUCGUGGAACACCAUCUCCUCGAUUGUGGCAGAAAGCACGCACUUUCGACGUGCUUUGGCAUCUGAGUGCUCUUGACGCUGGCCUGUAGGCUCUCCAUUCGACCCAUCUUGAAACACGAACCAAGGAGUCUGACAUGUAUGCGAGUCAAUGGGCAAGUAAACCCGUAAGGUGUAAUGAAGCUGAUUGGUGGGAUCCCCCUGUGGGGUGCACCACCGACCGACCUUGAUCUUCUGAGAAGGGUUCGAGUGUGAGUGUACCUAUCGGGACUCGAAAGAUAGUGAACUAUGCCUGAGCGGGGCAAAGCUAGAGGAAACUGUAGUGAAGGCCUGCAGCGCUACGGACGUGUAAAUCAUUCGUCUGACUUGGGUAUAGGGGUGAAAGACUAAUCGAACCAUCUAGUAAUUGGUUCCCUCCGAAGUUUCCCUCAGGAUAGCUGGAGCUCGUGUGUAGUUCUAUCGGGUAAACCCAAUGAUUAGAGGCCUCAGGGGCGCAACGCCCUCGACCUAUUCUCAAACUUUAAAUAGGUAGGACGGAGUGGCUGCUUUGUUGAGCCACGCCACGGAAUCAAGAUCUCCAAGUAAGAUAUUUUUAGUAAGCAGAAUUGGUGAUGCGGGAUGAACCAGAAGUAGGAUUAGAUUGCUAAACUGCACUCUAACCUAUAUCACACAAAGGGUGUUGGUCGAUUAAGAAUGCAGGACGGUAGUCAUGGAAGUCAAAAUCCGAUAAAAAUUGUUUAACAACUCACUUGAUGAAUUAAAUAGCCCUGAAAAUUGAUGGCGCCUAAGUGCAUGACCUACACCCGGCCGUUGGGGCAAGUGCUAGGCCCAGAUUACUAGAAGGGUGCGACGGUCGCUGCAAAACGUUGGGUGUGGACCUGAGCGGAUCGUCCGUCAGUGCAGAUCUUGGUGGUAGUUGGAAAUAUUCAAAUGAGAACUUUGAAGGCCGAAGUGGGAAAAGGUUCCAUGUGAACAGAACUGACAUAUUUGUUAGUCGAUCCUAAGGUUUAGGGGAACCCCGACAGAUAGCAAAUUUCGUGCGUACUCUGAAAGAGAAUCGGGUUAAUAUUCCUGAACUGGGAUGUGGCGGUCGACGACAAUGUUAGAACAUUUAGAAACAUCGGUGGGAGACUUGGUAAGAGUUAUCUUUUCUUUUUAACAGCCUACCCACCCUAGAAUCAGCUCAGUCAGAGGCAGGGUCCAGUGGCUGGAAGAGCACCGCACGUCGCGUGGUGUUCGGUGCGCUUCAGGUGUCCCUUAAAAAAAUGGAGCACUGAAUUCUGUCCACGCCCGAUUGUACUCAUAACCGCAUCAGGUCUCGAAAGUGAACAACCUCUAGUCGAUGGAACAAUAUAGGCAAGGGAAGUCGGCAAAAUAGAUCCCUAACUUUGGGAUUAGGAUUGACUCUGGGGGCUGGGCAUGGGGGUCCCAGGACGCUGUCAAUGGACUGCUCAAGAUUCUCCCGCAGAGAGAGCAGUUUGUUGCGUGCCAUACGAGGGACGUACUGGGAACGGUUCCUUUGGGGGCCUUCCCCGCGCAUCUAACAACCAACUCAGAACUGGUACAGAUAAAGGGAAUCCGAAUGUUUAAUUAAAACAAAGCAUUGCGACGGUCCCAAUCUAUGUUCACGCAAUGUGAUUUCUGCCUAGUGCUUUGAAUGUAAAAAUGAAGAAAUUCAAACAUGUACGGGUAAACGGUGGGAGUAACUAUGACUCUCUUAAGUUAGCCAAAUGCCUCGUUAUCUAAUUAGUGAUGCACAUAAAUGGAUUAACGAGAUUCCCACUAUUCCUGUCUACUAUCCAUCGAAAGCACAACCAAGGGAAUAGGCUUGGCAGAAUCAGUGGGAAAAAAAGACCCUGUUGAGCUUGACUCUAGUCCGACUUUUUGAAAUGACUUUAGAGGUGUAGUAUAAGUGGGAGCCGAAAGGUGAAAGUGAAAUACCACUACUUUAAACGUUAUUUUACUUAUUUUGUGAAUUACAAGCGGGGCGCUGUCUCUUUUUUUGAACCCAAGGCUCACUCUGCGGGCCGAUCUGGGAGGAAGACAUUGUUAGGUGGGUAGUUUGGAUGGAGUAGCACAUCUGUUAAAAGAUAACGCAGGUGUCCAAAGAUCAUCUCAACGAGAGGAAUAGAAGGGUAAAAGCUCAUUUGAUUCUAGUUUCUAGUAUGAAUACGAACCUUGAAAGCAUGGCCUAAUGAUCCUUUGGACCUUUAAAAUUCGAAGCUAGAGGUGUUUGUAAAUUUACCACAGGGAUAACUGGCUUGUGGAAGCCAUACGUUCAUAGCGACAUAGCUUUUUGAUCCUUUGAUGUCGGCUCUUCCAAUCAUUGUGAAGCAGAAUUCACCAAGUGUUGGAUUGAUUACUCACUAAUAAGGAACGUGAGUUGGGUUUAGACCAUCGUGAUACAGGUUAAUUUUACCCUACUGAUGACAGUGUCGCAAUAGUAAUUCAACCUAGUACGACAGAAACCAUUGAUUCACAUAAUUGGUCAUCACGCUUGGUUGAAAAGCCAGUAGUGCAAAGCUACCGUGUGCUGGAUUAUGACUGAAUGCUUCUAAGUCAGAAUAUGAGAUAGAAGUGGUGCAUGUGCCCGCUGUUUACUUCCAGACACGCAGUAGGGGCCUCGGCCCCCAAAGGCACGUGUCGUGGGCUAAGCCACCGCAGCGAAAGGGUUGCAGUGGCUGCCUUGAAGUACAAUUUCCAUCGAGCGGUGGGUAAAAUCCUUUGCAUACAACUUAAAUAUGUGAAGGGG